UACGGAGGAUCCGAGCGUUAUCCGGAUUUAUUGGGUUUAAAGGGUGCGUAGGCGGAUUUGUAAGUCAGUGGUGAAAUCCUGCAGCUUAACUGUAGAACUGCCAUUGAUACUGCAAGUCUUGAGUACAUAUGAUGUGGGCGGAAUGUGUAGUGUAGCGGUGAAAUGCUUAGAUAUUACACAGAACACCAAUUGCGAAGGCAGCUCACAAAACUGUAACUGACGCUGAGGCACGAAAGCGUGGGGAGUGAACAGG
rnacentral:rRNA from 1 species